GGACUACACGGGUUUCUAAUCCUGUUUGCUCCCCACGCUUUCGUGCAUGAGCGUCAGUAUCAUCCCAGGGGGCUGCCUUCGCCAUUGGUGUUCCUCCACAUCUCUACGCAUUUCACUGCUACACGUGGAAUUCCACCCCCCUCUGACGUACUCUAGCUUGCCAGUUCCAAACGCAAUUCCCAGGUUGAGCCCGGGGCUUUCACAUCUGGCUUAACAAGCCGCCUGCGCACGCUUUACGCCCAGUAAUUCCGAUUAACGCUUGCACCCUACGUAUUACCGCGGCUGCUGGCAC
rnacentral:rRNA from 2 species